rnacentral:rRNA from 1 species
CGUGGGGAACCUGCCCCAUAGUCUGGGAUACCACUUGGAAACAGGUGCUAAUACCGGAUAAGAAAGCAGAUCGCAUGAUCAGCUUUUAAAAGGCGGCGUAAGCUGUCGCUAUGGGAUGGCCCCGCGGUGCAUUAGCUAGUUGGUAAGGUAAAGGCUUACCAAGGCGAUGAUGCAUAGCCGAGUUGAGAGACUGAUAGGCCACAUUGGGACUGAGACACGGCCCAAACUCCUACGGGAGGCAGCAGCC